rnacentral:rRNA from 1 species
GGCGGACGGGUGAGUAACGCGUAAGAACUUGCCCUUUAGACUGGGAUAACAGAGGGAAACUUCUGAUAAUACUGGAUAAGUUAGUAUAUCGCAUGAUAUGCAAAUGAAAGCUACGGCACUAAAGGAGAGCUUUGCGUCCUAUUAGCUAGUUGGUAAGGUAAGAGCUUACCAAGGCGAUGAUAGGUAGCCGGCCUGAGAGGGUGAACGGCCACAUUGGAACUGAGAAACGGUCCAAACUCCUACGGGAGGCAGCAGGC